rnacentral:rRNA from 1 species
UACGGGGGGGGCAAGCGUUGUUCGGAAUUACUGGGCGUAAAGGGCUCGUAGGUGGCCAACUAAGUCAGACGUGAAAUCCCUCGGCUUAACCGGGGAACUGCGUCCGAUACUGGAAGGCUUGAAUCCGGGAGAGGGAUGCGGAAUUCCAGGUGUAGCGGUGAAAUGCGUAGAUAUCUGGAGGAACACCGGUGGCGAAGGCGGCAUCCUGGACCAUUACUGACACUGAAAAGCGAAAGCCAGGGGAGCAAACGGG